rnacentral:lncRNA from 10 species
CUCGGAGAGCGGGGGCGGGACCAGGAGGGCGAGGGGCGGGGCCUGAGGCUCGAGUCGCGGCGCCUGGGGCGGUGGCCGCCGGACCAAAGCUGGCCUCUCCCGGCUCCUCCUCCUCGCUCCCCAAGGCCUUUCCCACCGCGUCAUUGUCUCGGUUUAUCUGCAGAUACGUCUACCUAGCAGUCAGCCCAGCAGCGUAAGUGGUGACCAGUGUGGGCCUCUUUGAUCCUGAGACCGAAGGCUCGGCCACUGGCCCUCUCCAUUUGUUCCUUGUUGCCCUCCCUUCAUGAUUCAAUCCAUUAAUUAGGACUUUUCCUACCAGCUGGCAGUUCAGAGCUCCGCAUCCCCAGGCCUCUGAGUCACAGUUCCUGCCUUCAUGAAACUAGGAGUUGGGGCCACUGCAUUCUACUCCUUCGGGACUAUUGUUUCAUUUCUCAGUCCCUCAAACCCUUUAUUGGAUGAACAUGGGGUUAGGACAGCGGUUCUCCACUGCAACAGUUUUGCCUCCCAGGAGACAUUUGGCAAUGUAUGAAUCAUUUUCAGCCUCUCAUCUGGGGUGAGAUGUCAUUGGAAUCUACAGAUGGUGGAGGGCACAGUGCUUUUCACCUUGGCUAACUUCAAUGUUAAUGCCCCAAGAGAGAUGAUAUUGUUUCAGAGUGUUACAGAAAAAAAGAUACAGCAAGGCUAUUUUCUGAUCGGUUUCUGAAACCUGAAAAUGGAAUUAGCAGAAGAACUAUCCUGAACGAAUAUGUGACCACAGAGUAGGAUCCUCUUGAGCCCCAAAUGAGAUAUAACUAUUACCAUAAUCAAGAGUUGACUGGAGGUAAAGAACACUACAAUCCCAGUGUUCUAGUGACAAAGCCACUAAAGAAGCUGGUUCUGACCUACUGUAAGCAAGCCAUGCAGACUCAGCAGACCAGAAAACGUCUUUCUCCUGCUUUUCAGGCUACUUGCUCAUACCAUUUACCUAUACCACUUAGUUGCUCAUCUAUUAAACUUAGAGGACUUUUCCCUCUUUCAUUUCAUAGCCAGGCAGACUGCCCAAGACACCCUUGGGGAAACCUACUAUUUUUUUCUGUCUACCACGGUGUUUCGAACUUCUCACACUUCUGAGAAUCCUCCUCCUUCUCAGUAGACAACCAUGGAUUCUACUGCAGAAAACACAGAAGCCAUCAGAUUCAAACUCUUUCACCUUCACGCCAACCCAUCUAUAAGCCUUCUUAAAUUUGUACCCAGAUGGGCCUCCUGUCUUUGUGUUAACAUGAAAAAGUGUCUCUUCCUGUCUAUCUAAAGCCAAUCCCACCUCCUACGCUCUGCUGCCCUUCCCAUCUUCUAGGAACCGUGUGCUUCUUUCCUUACAUUGGCUCUCCAGGUGUCUCAUCCAUUCUCAUAGCUUUAAAAGACACUUAUUUUCGUCACUGGUGUCAGCAGCCCAACCUUCUACUCAGACGCCAGCCUAUACACCCUACUGCCUAUCUCACAUCUCUUCUUGAUGUCCCACAGAUAACUCAAUUUAUCUAAAAUGUAACCCAAUUUUUUUUCUUAUCCCUACUCUUAUUAUACUAACUAGCACCAACCGUCAACCCAGUUGCUCAAGCUAGGAAUCUGAAAGUCAUUGAUUUUCGCUUUCCCUCAUUCCUUACAUUUAUCAGCAAACUGUCAAAUCCACUUCCAAAAAUCUCCACUCCAGUCUCCACUGGCACCACCCUAUUUCAAGCUGCCAUCAUCUCUUGCACUGACUACUGCCACAGCCUCCUAACUGGUCUCCUUCAUUCCAUUCAGCACUUUGCAUACAACAGCCAGAGUCAUCUUUUCAGCGCUUUCAUGCCAUUCCCCUGCUGAAAAUCCUUUGCAACUGCUUCUAACUGCACUUAAAUAAAAUCCAAAUGCCGUAUCAGGUCUACAAAGCCCCACACAAUACAGCCUAUCUACUCCUCCAAAUUUAUCCUGUGCUACUCUUCCUUUGCUCCAGCCACACUGGCCUUUUUUAGUUCUAAGAAUCAUAUAACUAAGCUCUUUCCUGCCGCAGUGCCCUUGUACAUGCUACUCCACUCCUGGAAUGUCUAACUCUCUCUCAUCUUUCAGGUUUUAGCAUUAAUUCCAUAUUCUCAGAGAAGCCUUUUUUAGCUACCCUAGCCCUCCAAUGUCCUAUGUCCCCCCAUACUGUUGUAUUUCAGUAUCCUGUGAUAUCACUGAUCAAAAUUUAUAUUCAUUUUGUUUGUUGUUGGUGGGUGGGGGAGGAGGGUGCUAUCUUUCUUUCCUAAUAGAUUAUAAACUGUCUAAGAAGACAAAGGCAAUGUCUAUUUUGAUCACCAUUGUAUUUUCAGCACCUAGCACAGUGCUGGGCAGGCAAGAAAUAUUUAACAAAUGAAUUAAUCCUCCUUUUGAAAAUUUUAAAGAUCUCUCAUUACUCAAAACAAUCUCAACAAGAAACUUAUUUUUAAACCAUCAAUAAAAGCAAAUACAAGUUUUACUAAUUUAUAAUUAGUAAAAUUAUAAUUUACUAAUACAAGUUGUAUGUCUGAAGAAUCCAUUUUAUCUUCAACUUCAGAAUUAAAAUAUACUUCAAUACUAACUAGAAGAGUGGCAGAGAUUCCCCUAGAAAAAGGAAAUAAAACUGAACAGACAUCCUGUUCUCUCUCACAUCUUCUAAAAAGAAUGAAUUUCUUUGCUCAAGACAAUCUCUAUUGUGCAAAGUGUUUAUGUUCUAAAAGUCCACUUGUAAGUCUGAGAAUUCAGAUUCAUCACAGAAAAACAC